UACCCUAUUAUAUUAUUACUAAUUAAGGUAGUAAUAAACUUAUUUAUUAUGGCGGCAUAAUGUAAAAUUAGAGGAACUUGUCUUUUAAUCGAUAAUCCACGAUAAUUUUUACUUUAUUUAAUAGUUUAUAUAUCGUUGUUAAGAAUAUAUAAAAUAUUCUAUUUUAUAAAAUAAAUCAUGAUGUAACCAAUUUUAAAGAAUUGAUGUGUUAUAUUAAAUUUUAUUUAAGGAUAUAUUAAUAUAUUUAUAUAUUAAUUAAGAUUUAAUAGGUAAUUAUAAUAAUAAUAAUUUAUAGUGAAUUAUAAAUAUAUGUGUACACA
rnacentral:rRNA from 1 species